rnacentral:rRNA from 1 species
AUUGAACGCUGGCGGCAGGCCUAAUACAUGCAAGUCGAACGGUAGCACAGAGAGCUUGCUCUCGGGUGACGAGUGGCGGACGGGUGAGUAAUGUCUGGGAAACUGCCUGAUGGAGGGGGAUGACUACUGGAAACGGUAGCUAAUACCGCAUAACGUCGCAAGACCAAAGAGGGGGACCUUCGGGCCUCUUGCCAUCAGAUGUGCCCAGAUGGGAUUAGCUAGUAGGUGGGGUAAUGGCUCACCUAGGCGACGAUCCCUAGCUGGUCUGAGAGGAUGACCAGCCACACUGGAACUGAGACACGGUCCAGACUCCUACGGGAGGCAGCAGUGGGGAAUAUUGCACAAUGGGCGCAAGCCUGAUGCAGCCAUGCCGCGUGUAUGAAGAAGGCCUUCGGGUUGUAAAGUACUUUCAGCGGGGAGGAAGGUGUUGUGGCUAAUAACCGCAGCAAUUGACGUUACCCGCAGAAGAAGCACCG